CUGCCUCAUGUCCAGCUUCCCAUCCACCAGUACCCUCAGGUCUUUCUCAGCAGGGCUGCGCUCAAUCCUUUCGUACCCCAGCUUGUAUUGGUGAUGGGGGUUGCUUUGACUCAGGUGCAAGAUUUUGCAUUUGGAUUUGCUGAAUCUCAUGAGGUUCACCUGGGCCCACUGCUCAACUGUCUAGGUCCAUCUGGAUGGCAUCCCAUCCUUCUGGUGUGUUGACCACACCCCACAGCUUUGUGUUAUCAGCAAACUUGCUGAGGGUGCACUCGACCCCACUGUCGAUUUAACUGAUGAAGAUAUUAAAGAGUAUCAGCCCCAACACCGACCCCUGUAGGACACCACUUGUCACCAGUCUCCAUCCAGACAUUGAGCCACUGACCACCACUCUCUGGACUUGAUCAUAUAUGGAUUGUAUGGAUUGAAAUGGCAUGGUGCUGCCUUUCAAACUUAAUUGCAAUUGUUCACAUAAUGCUCGUACAUGAGCAUAAUGCUCAUAUGUGAUCAAAACUAUUCAUAUUUAGCUGGCAGUCUUUGAAUCACUAGCACUUUGAAUGUAAACAUUUGAAAUCAGGCCGGGGGAGUGAAAAUGCUGGUGGUGGCCCUUCUCCAAGAUCAGCUUUAUGACUGGGAGCUGCCAAAAGAGAUGCUGCUGAAGGAAUGUGAUCGAAUGAAAACCUUGAAGAGCAUUGUGUGCCUUGAGCAUGGCUCUGUUAGGGCUCCAGGUUCAACGGGUUAGGAAACCUUCACAUAACUUGAUGCGUGUUUGUAUGAAGCAGAGAGUGAGUUUACUGUGAAUGUCCAGAAAUUAUACUGUUUGCAUGUUUGCAUCUAAAUACUGGCUCCAUCUACAUAACCUCUUUAGUUGAUUCUUUUCAUAGGGAAAUCAUUUAUUUAUACAAAUACAGAAUCCUAUUGUGUGUGUCUCAGCAUGUGAUGCCAGGGUGGUAGUAACUAGUCUAAUCACACCCACCAGUAAGAAGGAAAUUGUAAUUAACUGCAAAACAUAGCAGCAAUAUGAAACCAGACAAAUUAGAAGCCUGGAGGUACUCCAGCUGCUAGAAAGCUGUAUUUCCAUCUCUAAGAAUGAUAGAUUAUUUUUUGAUCUCUAACGAGAUGUUAUCAGUAUAGGAAAAGUGAAAACAUAGGUUAUUAAGGGAAAAGAUGGGAGAAGUGAGUGAUUUGCAAGGACUAAUACCUGAACACUAGAGAAGCUGAUAAAGGCUUGAUGAGUUUAGUUCCAUAAAUUCAUGCAUAGGGAGAGCAUUUCGUGCACAAAGCCAAGAGAUGCAGAGAUGUGUCUUGCAGGAGCUGAGGUUUCCAGGGAAUCAAAACCGAAAUUGCUCAAUAUCUAAAGCUGAGCAAGGGCAUAGCAUGGGCUGAAGGAUUGUGUCAGGUAGAAACAUACCAGGAACAUCAUGGUACAGUACAUACAUUGUUGAAUGCAUGAAGGAUUGAAGGAAAAUUGUUUAGUAUUUUGCGACCAGGGUAAAAAGAAUAAAUGAAAAACACUUUCUUCAUGUUGCAGUGGCACAGUAUUGAUACACUUCUGACAGCUAUAUAUUACUGCCUAGCAGUGACCCAUACGGUGGAUGAUACCUCUAGGCACACUGUAAAUACACAAUUGGAUCACAGCUGAGGAAGUUACUGCUGAGUAAAUUCAAUUAUGGAGGAUGCUAAUAAGAGAGCCAAGGACUAUGCUGUAGACACAGUGGUUGCUCAAGAAUAUCACCACUAGAAGGUACAAACAGCAAGAAAAACUUUCAAAAUAGAUUCACCAGUAUGCUAAUACCUUCACUUGUGAUAUUUCAAACAAACCAACAAAGCAUGAACAAAGCAGAGUGCAAUAAGCCAUAAAAAUGCUUCUAAGAAUGGACAGCUUUCAACAAGCAGAUGCUAGAGGAGGCUGUCGUGAGUGAUGACUAAUGUGGGCAAGAAGUGAUUUUGUUCAGAGUGAUCAAUGAAUAUGUUAUGGCAAAUUUAAGAGCUGACAUCAGCUGUCAUGGAUAAAGUUGAUCUCUCAUGUCUGUGAAGAUGCAGAGACCUCUACUGACUGUAUGGAUACUCACUUGACAUGGAACAGUGUAAAGCAUGCUAAUAUUACCAUGAUCUUCAACAGAGGAAUAAUAUACAAUUCUCUGAUAGAAAUCCCAGUAUUAUCCUUAGGAAGGUCAAAACAGAGGUGUGAGCUACUUAUUCCUAUCAACUGACCAGUGUUGAGAUUGUUGGGAAAAGAUACAGGAGAAAGAAUGUAAAAUGGUACAAUUAGGAUAACAACUGAAUAGAAAAAAAAUCCUUUCUACAAACAAGUUUCAAGAUCCAUACGAUUGAAAACGGCGCAAUAAAGUGAGUGCAACUUCCAUUGCAGCAUCUUUAAAAGUAAUUUUCCUAAUGAAGAGAUAAUAGAUAUGGAGUCUUUGCACAUGGUUACUCAGCAGAUAAUGCUUGAAAAGAUUCCCAUAAUCUCUUCAU
rnacentral:lncRNA from 1 species